AACGAACGCUGGCGGCAGGCCUAACACAUGCAAGUCGAGCGAAGCCUUCGGGCUUAGCGGCGGACGGGUGAGUAACGCGUGGGAACGUGCCCUUUGGUACGGAAUAGCCCCGGGAAACUGGGAGUAAUACCGUAUGUGCCCUUCGGGGGAAAGAUUUAUCGCCAAAGGAUCGGCCCGCGUUGGAUUAGGUAGUUGGUGGGGUAAUGGCCUACCAAGCCGACGAUCCAUAGCUGGUUUGAGAGGAUGAUCAGCCACACUGGGACUGAGACACGGCCCAGACUCCUACGGGAGGCAGCAGUGGGGAAUCUUAGACAAUGGGGGAAACCCUUAUCCAGCCAUGCCGCGUGAGUGAUGAAGGCCUUAGGGUUGUAAAGCUCUUUCGGUGGUGACGAUAAUGACGGUAACCACAUAAGAAGCCCCGGCUAACUUCGUGCCAGCCGCCGCAGUAAAAC
rnacentral:rRNA from 1 species